UGACGUCAAACACAGAGAAUCACAGAUUCUACUAUACGUAUAGGGUUAACAGAGUUUGAAAUUCUUACAGAUCUAAUAAUCUCAAGGUUCAGCUCCUCCGGCGUCAACAACAUAUCGGCGCUAGGGUUCCGGUAAAACAUAAACUCACGAUCACCGUCCGAUUUCAACGUAACAAACGCCAACGCAGUUCUCGCACCUUUAUCAAAGCAAAUUCCCUCACCGGAGACACCGUUCUCCUUCAAGAUCCCGGCGAGCAUGUGACCGAACUCAUCGUCGCCUAACUUUCCGACGAACUCGAUUAGCAUCUCGCCGAAGCUGACGAUCAGUUUUUUGUCGGUGACUCCAUUGGUGGCCGCCAUUGAUGAGCUUGAGAGAAGAAAAAAGUUGCAGGUUUUUUAAGAGGAAAGAGAUGAUAAACAACCCGGUUUACAAACGGGACAAAUUGUUUAUCUCAAUAUGUUUGGAGGGCAUUAUUGCUUAA
rnacentral:lncRNA from 1 species